rnacentral:rRNA from 1 species
UACGAAGGGGGCUAGCGUUGCUCGGAAUCACUGGGCGUAAAGCGCACGUAGGUGGGUCGUUAAGUCGGGGGUGAAAUCCUGGAGCUCAACUCCAGAACUGCCUUUGAUACUGGGGAUCUUGAGUCCGGAAGAGGUGAGUGGAACUCCGAGUGUAGAGGUGAAAUUCGUAGAUAUUCGGAAGAACACCAGUGGCGAAGGCGGCUCACUGGUCCGGUACUGACGCUGAGGUGCGAAAGCGUGGGGAGCAAACAGG